rnacentral:rRNA from 1 species
CACGAAGGGGGCUAGCGUUGUUCGGAAUUACUGGGCGUAAAGCGCGCGCAGGCGGUUCUUCAAGUCAGAGGUGAAAGCCCAGAGCUCAACUCUGGAAUGGCCUUUGAGACUAGAGAACUAGGGUACGGGAGAGGUGAGUGGAAUUCCGAGUGUAGAGGUGAAAUUCGUAGAUAUUCGGAGGAACACCAGUGGCGAAGGCGGCUCACUGGUCCGGUACUGACGCUGAGGUGCGAAAGCGUGGGGAGCAAACAGG